rnacentral:rRNA from 1 species
GUGUUACUGCGAAGGGGGGACGGAGAAGGCUAUGUUGGCCGGGCGACGGUUGUCCCGGUUUAAGCGUGUAGGCUGGUUUUCCAGGCAAAUCCGGAAAAUCAAGGCUGAGGCGUGAUGACGAGGCACUGCGGUGCUGAAGCAACAAAUGCCCUGCUUCCAGGAAAAGCCUCUAAGCAUCAGGUAACAUCAAAUCGUACCCCAAACCGACACAGGUGGUCAGGUAGAGAAUACCAAGGCGCUUGAGAGAACUCGGGU